rnacentral:rRNA from 1 species
GAUGAACGCUGGCGGCGUGCCUAAUACAUGCAAGUCGAGCGAACAGACGAGGAGCUUGCUCCUCUGACGUUAGCGGCGGACGGGUGAGUAACACGUGGAUAACCUACCUAUAAGACUGGGAUAACUUCGGGAAACCGGAGCUAAUACCGGAUAAUAUAUUGAACCGCAUGGUUCAAUAGUGAAAGACGGUUUUGCUGUCACUUAUAGAUGGAUCCGCGCCGCAUUAGCUAGUUGGUAAGGUAACAGCUUACCAAGGCAACGAUGCGUAGCCGACCUGAGAGGGUGAUCGGCCACCCUGGCACUGAGCCACGGUCCAGACUCCUACGGGAGGCAGCCGUAGGGAAUCUUCCGCAAUGGGCGAAAGCCUGACGGAGCAACGCCGCGUGAGUGAUGAAGGUCUUCGGAUCGUAAACCUCUGUUAUUAGGGAAGAACAAAUGUGUAAGUAACUAUGCACGUCUUGACGGUACCUAAUCAGAAAGCCACGGCUAACUACGUG